GACAGAGAUGCUUAAUUAGCUCGUGAGGAGGGAUGAAACAACACCAUGAGUAUAACACAGCAUUUAAGGCACUUCAGGAAGCCAAAGAGGAAAAGAGGAGAGAGAGCCCCAGGGAGGAGGAUGAAGGAAGAGCUCAAGUGUCCCAAUUUACAGUUUUGCUUUAUGCUUGCACUGAUUCUCAACCCAAGCCCCUCCUUUAAGCAGCUUUAUUUCAUUUUGAAGCAUAAAUGAAACUGGUGAACAUUUAAAAAGGAUCACUCAGGACCAAUUCCGGGAGCAGUCAAAAGCACUACUCAAGGGGACAGAGGAACACUGCGGAUCGGAUAUUCUGUGCAUAUUCAGAGGGUGCCCCUACCUCCGCUAAGAAACAGCAUGAAUUAAUCAAGGUGUGCUAUCUCAGAAAGCCACUGCCAUCCCCACCGCUUUCCUCUUAAAUUGCCACACAAGGAGCUUACCUUUCGCCUGCUUCUGACUUGCAUUAGAAACGCUGACUCGGAUUCUGUUUCCCUCCUGUAUAUCGAUUUAUCUCUUCUCAGCGAGUGUAGAGACUUUUUUUUCUUUUCUCACCCAACUUCUGAUUUCAGGGCUCUUCAACCGAGGUUGUCCAAAUGAAUGAAUGAAAGGCUGUCUUCCGGUCAGCUGCAGU